AUGCAUCACGAGUGUGUGUGGACAAGAAGCAAAUUUUCAGCAAUGACAAAAGUUGAGUAUGUUAGCAAUAAUUUGGCAGAGGUUUUCAACAAUUGGAUUAAGGAUGUGAAGCAACUUGCACUUGUUGAGCUUUUGGACAACCUUAGAGAAAUGAUAAUGAUAUUGUUCGAGAAAAGGAGAGCCGUUGGUGAAGCGCUGCUAGGUUACAUACUACCUAGUGUGAUAAAGGAGUUGAAUAUGAAAAGUAAGGGGCUGCAUUAUUUGGAAGCAAGAGCAUCGCCAAAUAUAGCUGAGAUUUUAGGAAAUGGAUGGAGGCACAUCGUUAACUUGGAGAAAAAUGAGUGCUCUUGUAGAAGAUGGCAGAUUUGUGGUAAACCUUGCACACAUGCUCUCCGGUUCGUCUUCUCCAAAAAAGCCAAGCUAGAGGAUUAUGUUGCAGAGUGCUUCUCAGUGGCAAGGUUCCAAGCGGGAUGUGAUGGAGUUCUCAUGCCAAUUAGGGGCAGAUCCCAAUGGACCAAGGUAAAUCCUGGAUUUGAUAUGAUCCUUCCCAAACUUACCAAGAGUGAUGGAGGUCCAAGAACUAGGAGGAUAAAGAAUUACACCAAAGGUGGAACCAGUAGAAGACACAAAUGCAAAAGAUGUGGAGCAACAGGCCAUCUUCGAAAGACAUGCAAGGAGCCUGAGAUGAAAAGUGAUGCGGAUCGAGAUGCUACUCCUCCUCCGCGGUAUUUAUUUCGAAAAAGUCAAAGGCUGAAGCAAGCAUUGCGACUACUUCUCCUAAGACACCAACUAAGCAAGGUACUCAACUUGAUACUCCUACAAGUCCAAUGA
rnacentral:rRNA from 1 species